GGUCAAUGAUGGUUUAAGGCAUGUAUUAACUGAAACAAUACGUGAUGCAAAAUUUAAAAUUAUACUGAGACCUU